rnacentral:rRNA from 1 species
AUUGAACGCUGGCGGCAGGCCUAACACAUGCAAGUCGAGCGAGCGGCGGACGGGUGAGUAAUGUCUGGGAAACUGCCUGAUGGAGGGGGAUAACUACUGGAAACGGUAGCUAAUACCGCAUACCAUCAGAUGUGCCCAGAUGGGAUUAGCUGGUAGGUGGGGUAACGGCGCACCUAGGCGACGAUCCCUAGCUGGUCUGAGAGGAUGACCAGCCACAUUGGAACGGAGACCAGUCCGAACCUCCUACGGGAGGCAGCAGUGGGGAAUAUUGCACAAUGGGCGCAAGCCUGAUCCAGCCAGGCCGCGUGUGUGAAGAAGGCCUUCGGGUUGUAAAGCAAUUUCAGCGGGGAGGCGUUACCCGCAGAAGAAGCACCGGCUAACUCCGUGCCAGCAGCCGCGGUAAUAC